UCAAUAAGCGGAGGAAAAGAAACCAACAGGGAUUGCCCUAGUAACGGCGAGUGAAGCGGCAACAGCUCAAAUUUGAAACCUGGCGCUUGCGUCCGGAUUGUAAUUUGCAGAGGAUGCUUCUGGGCAGCGGCCGGUCUAAGUUCCUUGGAAAAGGACGUCAUAGAGGGUGAGAACCCCGUAUGUGACCGGCGCGCACCCUCCACGUAGCUCCUUCGACGAGUCGAGUUGUUUGGGAAUGCAGCUCUAAAUGGGAGGUAAAUUUCUUCUAAAGCUAAAUAUUGGCCCGAGACCGAUAGCGCACAAGUAGAGUGAUCGAAAGAUGAAAAGCACUUUGGAAAGAGAGUUAAAAAGCACGUGAAAUUGUUGAAAGGGAAGCGCUUCCCACCAGACUCCGCGGCGGUGUUCCGCCGGUCUUCUGACCGGUCUACUCGCCGCCGUGGGGCCAGCAUCGUCUGGGGCCGCCGGAUAAGACCGCAGGAAUGUAGCUCAUUGAGUGUUAUAGCCUGCGGGGAUGCGGCGCGCCCCGGGCGAGGUCCGCGCUUCGGCAAGGAUGCUGGCGUAAUGGUGGGCAGCGGCCCGUCUUGAAACACGGACCAAGGAGUCUAACAUCUAUGCGAGUGUUCGGGUGUCAAACCCCUACGCGUAAUGAAAGUGACGGAGG
rnacentral:rRNA from 1 species